AGGGCAUUCAAAACAAUUGCUAUUGAAAUCUCUGGUACUGACCACAUUUUCUCCUCCUCAGGUGGUGCGGACAGUUGUUGUGGUUUUACACAAACAAUGGCUGAAAACAAAAGGCAGAGGAAGUCACACAGCGGGUAAUCGGAGCUGGACAAGUCCUGGAUUGCAGGUACUGCGAGAAGCUCUGAUGUUACUGCACUGGCUAUUGUUGAAGGACUCGUCUUUUUCCGAACACUGUCUGGACGUCCUGCACAUGUACGAUCAGGUUAUUCCUGCCAUCAGAGACACGUUCCGUCUGGUCCCAGAUCUGUCUGAGAGCGAAGAACUGGCUCUGGAGGAGAUCUGCAGAUCUGAAACGGAGUAUGUUGAAGACAUGGAUAUGGAAACAGGGUCAUAAUGAUCAAACACAAAGUCAAUUUUCCCAUCAAAAUUCCCGAAACAUUGUGCUCGUCUCGUGUCCUCAGAUUUUUGUUAUUCUUUUAAAAACUGAUCACCAAUGAUCCGAAUUAAAGAAUUAUGAGAGUUUCAUAAU